rnacentral:rRNA from 1 species
GGAAUAUUGCGCAAUGGGGGGAACCCUGACGCAGCGACGCCGCGUGGGUGAGGAAGGCUUUCGGGUCGUAAAACCCUGUCAGAAGGGAAGAAAUGCUUGCAGGUUAAUACCUUGUAAGUUUGACGGUACCUUCAAAGGAAGCACCGGCUAACUCCGUGCCAGCAGCCGCGGUAAUACGGAGGGUGCAAGCGUUGUUCGGAAUCACUGGGCGUAAAGGGCGCGUAGGCGGCUUGGCAAGUCAGAUGUGAAAGCCCACGGCUUAACCGUGGAAGUGCAUUUGAAACUGCUUGGCUUGAGUAUCAGAGGGGAAAGUGGAAUUCCCGGUGUAGAGGUGAAAUUCGUAGAUAUCGGGAGGAAUACCGGUGGCGAAGGCGACUUUCUGGCUGAAUACUGACGCUGAGGCGCGAAAGCGUGGGGAGCAAACAGGAUUA